rnacentral:rRNA from 1 species
CAGCAGCCACGGGAAUACAGAGGGUGCGAGCGUUAAUCGGAUUUACUGGGCGUAAAGCGUGCGUAGGCGGCUUUUUAAGUCGGAUGUGAAAUCCCUGAGCUUAACUUAGGAAUUGCAUUCGAUACUGGGAAGCUAGAGUAUGGGAGAGGAUGGUAGAAUUCCAGGUGUAGCGGUGAAAUGCGUAGAGAUCUGGAGGAAUACCGAUGGCGAAGGCAGCCAUCUGGCCUAAUACUGACGCUGAGGUACGAAAGCAUGGGGAGCAAACAGGAUUAGAUACCCCUGUAGUCCCUGUCUCUUAUAA